rnacentral:rRNA from 1 species
ACAAUGAAGAGUUUGAUCCUGGCUCAGGAUGAACGCUAGCUACAGGCUUAACACAUGCAAGUCGAGGGGCAUCAGGAAGAAAGCUUGCUUUCUUUGCUGGCGACCGGCGCACGGGUGAGUAACACGUAUCCAACCUGCCCUUUACUCGGGGAUAGCCUUUCGAAAGAAAGAUUAAUACCCGAUAGCAUAAUGAUUCCGCAUGGUUUCAUUAUUAAAGGAUUCCGGUAAAGGAUGGGGAUGCGUUCCAUUAGGUUGUUGGUGGGGUAACGGCCCACCAAGCCUUCGAUGGAUAGGGGUUCUGAGAGGAAGGUCCCCCACAUUGGAACUGAGACACGGUCCAAACUCCUACGGGAGGCAGCAGUGAGGAAUAUUGGUCAAUGGGCGCUAGCCUGAACCAGCCAAGUAGCGUGAAGGAUGAAGGCUCUAUGGGUCGUAAACUUCUUUUAUAUAAGAAUAAAGUGCAGUAUGUAUACUGUUUUGUAUGUAUUAU